rnacentral:rRNA from 1 species
UAUAGGAAGGAACACCAGUGGCGAGGGUGACACUCGGGCUUGACACUGACGCUGAGGUACGAAAAGCGUGGGGGAGCAAACAGGAUUAGAUACCCUGGUAGUCCACGCCGUAAACGAUGUCUACUAGUUGUCGGUGGUCUUGUACUGCUGGGUAACGCAGCUAACGCGAUAAGUAGACCGCCUGGGGGAGUACGGCCGCAAGGUUAAAACUCAAAUGAAUUGACGGGGGCCCGCACAAGCGGUGGAGCAUGUGGUUUAAUUUCGAAGCAACGCGAAGAACCUUACCUGGCCUUGACAUCCUGCGAAUCUCUUGGAGACAAGAGAGUGCCUUCGGGAACGCAGAGACAGGUGCUGCAUGGCUGUCGUCAGCUCGUGUCGUGAGAUGUUGGGUUAAGUCCCGCAACGAGCGCAACCCUUGUCCUCAGUUACCAGCACUUCGGGUGGGCACUCUGGGGAGACUGCCGGUGACAAACCGGAGGAAGGUGGGGGCGACGUCAAGUCAUCAUGGCCCUUACGGCCAGGGCUACACACGUGCUACAAUGGUGCAUACAGACGGUUGCCAAGCCGCGAGGUGGAGCUAAUCUGAGAAAGUGCAUCGUAGUCCGGAUUGGAGUCUGCAACUCGACUCCAUGAAGUCGGAAUCGCUAGUAAUCGUGAAUCAGAAUGUCACGGUGAAUACGUUCCCGGGCCUUGUACACACCGCCCGUCACACCAUGGGAGUGGGUUGCUCCAGAAGUGGUUAGCCUAACCUUCGGGAGGGCGAUCACCACGGAGUGAUUCAUGACUGGGGUGAAGUCGUAACAAGGUAACCA